AUCAUACUCCCUCCGUUUGAAAAUACUUGUCAUUGAAAUAGAUAUAUCUAGAUGUAUUUUAAUUCUAGAUACAUUCAUUUUUAUUUAUUUUAAUGACAAGUAUUUCCGGACGGAGAGAGUAUGUC
rnacentral:pre_miRNA from 1 species